AAUCUUCCACAAUGGACGAAAGUCUGAUGGAGCAACGCCGCGUGAGCGAAGAAGGUUUUCGGAGCGUAAAGCUCUGCUGCGAGGGAAGAACAAGUACGGGAGUAACUGCCCGUACCUUGACGGUACCUCGUCAGAAAGCCACGGCCAACUCCGGCCCCGCAGCCGCGGUAAUACGUAGGUUGCAAGCGUUGGCCGGAAUUAUUGGGCGUAAAGCGCGCGCAGGCGGUCCUUUAAGUCUGAUGUGAAAGCCCACGGCUCAACCGUGGAGGGUCAUUGGAAACUGGAGGACUUGAGUACAGAAGAGGAAAGCGGAAUUCCACGUGUAGCGGUGAAAUGCGUAGAGAUGUGGAGGAACACCAGUGGCGAAGGCGGCUUUCUGGUCUGUAACUGACGCUGAGGCGCGAAAGCGUGGGGAGCAAACA
rnacentral:rRNA from 1 species